UACGGAGGGGCAAGCGUUGUUCGGAAUCACUGGGUGUAAAGGGUGCGUAGGCGGUCCGUUAAGUCUGAUGUGAAAGCCCUGGGCUCAACUCAGGAAUUGCAUUGGAAACUGGCGGGCUGGAGUACGGGAGAGGGAAGCGGAAUUCCUGGUGUAGCGGUGAAAUGCGUAGAUACCAGGAGGAACACCGGUGGCGAAGGCGGUUUCCUGGCCCGUACUGACGCU
rnacentral:rRNA from 1 species